GCCUUGCGACCAUACUCCCCAGGCGGAACACUUAACGCUUUCGCUACGAGAAAGAAGGCCGAAGCCCCCUUCCUCCAGUGUUCAGUGUUUACGGCUAGGAUUACCGGGGUAUCUAAUCCCGUUCACUCCCCUAGCUUUCGUGCCUCAGCGUCAGAAAAGGCCCAGUGUGCCGCUUUCGCUGCUGGCGUUCCUUCCGAUCUCUACACAUUUCACCGCUCCACCGGAAGUUCCACACACCCCUACCUCACUCAAGUCAUCCAGUAUCACGCGCAGUUUUCCGGUUGAGCCGGAGGAUUUCACACGUGACUUAGAUAACCGCCUACGCACCCUUUAAGCCCAGUGAUUCCGAAUAACGUUCGCACAGUUCGUAUUACCGCGGCUGCUGGCACGAACUUAGCCCGUGCUUCCUCUGAGGCUCUGUCAAAUACAAGAGAUAGCUCUCGUAUACUUCAUCCCCUCUGACAGCGGUUUACAAUCCGAAGACCUUCAUCCCGCACGCGGCGUCGCUCGGUCAGACUUUCGUCCAUUGCCGAAGAUUCUCGACUGCAGCCACCCGUAGGUGU
rnacentral:rRNA from 1 species